GACGAACGCUGGCGGCGUGCUUAACACAUGCAAGUCGAACGGUGAAGCGCCUUCCUUUUUGGUGGGUGUGGAUGAGUGGCGAACGGGUGAGUAACACGUGAGUAACCUGCCCCCUUCUUCUGGAUAACCGCAUGAAAGUGUGGCUAAUACGGGAUAUUCUGGGUCUGUCGCAUGAUGGGUCUGGGAAAGAUAUUGUUUCGGUGGGGGAUGGGCUCGCGGCCUAUCAGCUUGUUGGUGGGGUGAUGGCCUACCAAGGCGGUGACGGGUAGCCGGCCUGAGAGGGUGGACGGUCACACUGGGACUGAGACACGGCCCAGACUCCUACGGGAGGCAGCAGUGGGGAAUAUUGCACAAUGGGCGCAAGCCUGAUGCAGCGCCGCCGCGUGAGGGGUGGAGGCCUUCGGGUUGUGAACCUCUUUCGCCAGUGAAGCAGGCCUGCCUCGUUUGUGGGUGGGUUGACGGUAGCUGGAUAAGAAGCGCCGGCUAACUACGUG
rnacentral:rRNA from 1 species